AUUGAACGCUGGCGGCAGGCCUAACACAUGCAAGUCGAACGGUAACAGGAAUCAGCUUGCUGAUUUGCUGACGAGUGGCGGACGGGUGAGUAAUGUCUGGGAAACUGCCUGAUGGAGGGGGAUAACUACUGGAAACGGUAGCUAAUACCGCAUAACGUCGCAAGACCAAAGAGGGGGACCUUCGGGCCUCUUGCCAUCGGAUGUGCCCAGAUGGGAUUAGCUAGUAGGUGGGGUAAAGGCUCACCUAGGCGACGAUCCCUAGCUGGUCUGAGAGGAUGACCAGCCACACUGGAACUGAGACACGGUCCAGACUCCUACGGGAGGCAGCAGUGGGGAAUAUUGCACAAAGGGCGCAAGCCUGAUGCAGCCAUGCCGCGUGUAUGAAGAAGGCCUUCGGGUUGUAAAGUACUUUCAGCGGGGAGGAAGGGAGUAAAGUUAAUACCUUUGCUCAUUGACGUUACCCGCAGAAGAAGCACCGGCUAACUCCGUG
rnacentral:rRNA from 1 species